AGCUAGCUAAAACCUGAAUACCUAUUAACAAAUCCUUACAAAAUCCAUGUUGCUUCACCUCUAGUAUUUACUUUGUAGGACCUAACCACAACUUCCUCAUUUAGUGCUUUGUUUUUCAAGUUGAUCAUUUCAAAGAUCUGUCACCUUUUUAUACCAGUUUUUUUCUUAAGAUUUUGGGGCAAUACUUCCAACAUUCUUCUUUUCCUUGUGCAACAUGAUUCAAAGGGCUGCAUGCUUUCCCAGAGCUCUACUUUCUUCUCUACAGAAGGUCAGUUGUUCUCCAUCUUCCUAAAAAUUUCUCGAUAUGGUAUCUUUUUGUUUUUGUAUAAUCAUUUAAUAUUUGACAUUCACUAGCCCGACUGAUUCUAGUUAGCAUUGUGGAAACGCUCCCUACUAUAAGUUUCUCCAUUUUUAGGACUAGAAUUCGAGGCAUCUGAUUAACGGUGAAAGAAUCUCUUCCAGCCCACCUAGAUAAUCUCCAUAUGAUAUAACCAUAAUUUUUCUUAUGCAAUCCUUUUGGGAGUUUAUUCUUGUAGGAUACUCUUUCUUAUCCCAUUUUACGGGGUUCAAAAUAUACUUUUCGUCUUUAAAAUUUUUUCAUAUAAUUUAAUCGAUUUUUAACUUUAAGAAAAUUAUAACGAAUUUCAGUUUAUAUGAUACUAUUACAAUUUGGAGAUUUAAAUAACUUUCUCUUUGACCACAACUAUUUUCAUGUAUAUAUUUCAAGUAUUUUUAAUUAUAAAAAGUUUUGUGUUAUAGUACUUAUUCUUAGUAUCUAGUUUUUAAGCAUGUAAAAUAUUAGGGAUACUAAAAUCAAUGUCUGAUCGAAUUGAGAUACUCAUAUUCCGAGCCUCUUCGUUUUUUUUUGUUUUUUUUAUUGCAAUGAAGAAGUAGCUUAUAUGUUUUAUGUAAUUUAAAUAUAUGAAUUUAAUUUAUACAAAAAUUUAAAUAAUUAAUGUAAGAAUUGAAAUCCUGAGCUAGUUGUCUCUGUCUCAAAUUAAUUAAAACAUAUGUUUUAGUAUGUUUACAAACAUGUACAACUCCAAAAAUAUGCCCACACCGGUGGGGCAAAUAAAUUUAAUGACCCUUGGGCUGAUGUUUCCUACACACACACACACUUUGAGAGUUUUUUUUUAAAAAAAGUAUUUAUUCGACUACACAAAUUUUAAAUAUUUUGAAAAUGAUCAAUUAUAAAUAUUAUAUUUUAUAAUAUUUUUAUGUAACUUCUGAAUAUGUAUUCUAUAUAUCCUCUUCCAAAACUUAAAACAUGAAUUGGGGCGAAACAUAAUAAUUUACUGUAUUAACCAACUAUUCUUUGGGAAGAUGUUAUUUUUGAAGUAGCAGAACUGCAGAAGGGAGGGGGGAAGAACUAGAUCCUGGAGGCUGCCAAGCUUAAUUAAGUUUGGUAGAAGUAUUACCCCCUCUAUAGGUUAUAAUUUUUUAAUAUAAUUUGACUAGACAUAAAACUUAAUAAAGAAAUAAUUAUAUUUAAAAUUUGAUGAUUCUAAAACGUCAUUUUAAAUAAUACAUGUCAUACUUUUUAAAAAGAUUAAAAAAAUAUAAAUAUUAAAUUGGAAUAGAGGGAGUAUAUGAAAUAUAAAAAGAUAAAAACCAAUCAAUAACAUAGAGAUUCUCAAUAAAUACAUAACACAUGUUUUACAAAUAUGAUUAUUACAAAAUAAUAAUUAACUAACAUGUAUUUGAAUUAAUACAUCAUAUGCAAAGAAGUUUCUACCAUGAUUUAAUUUGCAUCACAAUAACGAAUUGAUGAGUGACUUUAUGUCAUUGUAGGUAGGAGUUAGGUACUUUACUGCCCCUGCAGCUCUAACUUCUGCACAAUCUUCUGCUGAUUGGUGAGUUGCAUUUAAUUUGAAACCAACAACUCCAUGUUGGAAGUUUAUCGUUUACGAAAAAAAAAGAAAGAAGUUUAUUGUUUGUUUGAGGUUUUUCAACUUUUGAGUUGUUUCAAACUGUUUGUUUGAGCUAAAACUUGAAGAAAAGUUAUAUUUUAAGGGUCUGCAAACUCUAUUUCUCCAAAUUUUAAAAAAUUGAGAAACUUCUAAAAGAGUUACUGAUUAAGUAUAUGGACAUG
rnacentral:lncRNA from 1 species